rnacentral:rRNA from 1 species
UGAGUGCGAGCUGCUACGGCAGCGAAGUUGGUGACGUCAAGCUUCCAAGAAAAGCCCUAUACCCGUUAAGGCAUCAUGGCCUGUACCCGAAACCGACACAGGUGGGGUGGUAGAGAAUACCGAGGGGCGCGAGGUAACUCUCUCUAAGGAACUCGGCAAAAUGGCCCCGUAACUUCGGGAGAAGGGGUGCCACCGCAAGGUGGUCGCAGUGAAGAGGCCCAGGCGACUGUUUACCAAAAACACAGGUCUCCGCUAAGUCGCAAGACGAUGUAUGGGGGCUGACGCCUGCCCAGUGCCGGAAGGUUAAGGAAGCUGGUCAGCGCAAGCGAAGCUGGCGACUGAAGCCCCGGUGAACGGCGGCCGUAACUAUAACGGUCCUAAGGUAGCGAAAUUCCUUGUCGGGUAAGUUCCGACCCGCACGAAAGGCGUAACGAUCUGGGCGCUGUCUCGGAGAGAGGCUCGGCGAAAUAGAAUUGUCUGUGAAGAUGCGGACUACGUGCACCCGGACAGAAAGACCCUAUGAAGCUUUACUGUAGCUUGGUAUUGUGCCCGGGCUCUGAAUGCGCAGGAUAGGUGGGAGGCUUUGAUCAUCGGCUUGCGGGUCGAUGUGAGCCAACGGUGAGAUACCACUCUUUCAGAGCUAGGGUUCUAACAGUCACCCGUUAUCCGGGGACUGGACAGUAUCAGGUGGGCAGUUUGACUGGGGCGGUCGCCUCCUAAAAGGUAACGGAGGCGCGCAAAGGUCUGCUCAGGCUGGUUGGAAAUCAGCCGACGAGUGUAAAAGCAGAAGCAGGCUUGACUGUGAGACCUACGAGUCGAACAGGGAGGAAACUCGGCUUUAGUGAUCCGACGGUUCUGCGUGGAAGGGCCGUCGCUCAACGGAUAAAAGUUACUCUAGGAUAACAGGCUGAUCUCCCCCAAGAGUUCACAUCGACGGGGAGGUUUGGCACCUCGAUGUCGGCUCAUCGCAACCUGGGGCUGAAGUCGGUCCCAAGGGUUGGGCUGUUCGCCCAUUAAAGCGGUACGCGAGCUGGGUUCAGAACGUCGUGAGACAGUUCGGUCCAUAUCCGGUGCAUGCGCAGGAAUAUUGAGAGGAGUUCUCCCUAGUACGAGAGGACCGGGAGGAACGCACCUCUGGUGUACCAGUUAUCGUGCCAACGGUAAACGCUGGGUAGCCAUGUGCGGAGAGGAUAACCGCUGAAAGCAUCUAAGUGGGAAGCCCACCUCAAGAUGAGUAUUCCCAUGGCGUUAGCCAGUAAGGUCACGGGAAGAACACCCGUUGAUAGGCUCUAUGUGGAAGCGCAGUAAUGCGUGAAGCAGAGGAGUACUAAUAGACCGAGGGCUUGAC